CUCAGUAUUACAGCCAUAUCAGUACAACAUUUCUCUAUGUUUAGUGGAACAAAAAGACAGGACAUGUCCACUUGAUGAGCAAGGGAAAAUCUAAUGAAAAGCCCCUCUGUAUUCUGGCAAGACAUGCUACAUUAUGCCCUCAUGCAUGUAAGAAACAGUCCACCUGCAUAACUAGACAGAUUAAAAAAUGCUAUGUAAAGCUCAUGGGUUGAGAUAAGGAUAGGGCAACACCUUACCAGUUAUUGUCAUGGCAAAACAGUCUUGUCUUGGAGAAAACUCAGUGAAACACUGGAACAGGUUGCCCUGGGAAGUGGUGAAUGCCCCAUUCUCAGGAACAAUCAAGUGUGGGGUCCCAGUCACAGGAGACAGUUCUUCACAAACUGCUCCCAUGUGGGUCCUCUCCUAGGGGUGCAACCUUUCAGGAACAGUCUACUCCAGAGUGACUACUCACAGCAUCACAAGUAGUGCCAGCAAACCUUCUCCAGCAUGGGCUCAUCAUCACCAGGACCCUGCUCCAUCACUGGCUUCCUCAGGCAUCCCCCUGCUUCAGUGUGGGGUGGUUCCUGGAAUGCAGGUGGAUAUAUGCUGCAGCAUGGACCUCCAUGGGCUGCAGGGGCACAGCUGCCUCACCUGGGCUGCAGGGGAAUCACUGCUCUAUGCCUGAAGAAGCUCCUCAACCUCCUUCUUCACUGAUCUUGUCUGCAGGGCUGUUUCUCACAUGUUCUCUCUCCCAUUUGCUGUUUCACAGCAGUUUUUACCCUUUCUUUUAUAUAUUAUAUUAAAGUGACACUCUUCCCAUCGCUGAGGGGCUCAGCUCUGGCUGGUGUUGGUCUGUCUUGGAGCUUGAGGCAACUACAAGAGGCUCUGUCCAACACAAGAGCAGCUCCUGGUGCCUUCUCACAGAAGCCUUUUGGUAUCGAAACCUUGCCACACAAAAAAAAGCCAGUUAAUGUGGCACAACUCUGUGACACUCAUUAGCUGGAGGGAAACCGAAUUUUCAUCUGGGUUAAAACAUUGAGGAAAAAAAAUCAAACAGGGAUUCUUGUGCCACUCUGCUCUUCACUGGUGUGCCCUCACCUUCAGUCCUCUGUGCAGUUUUGGCCACCACAAUAUAAGAAAGACAUUAAACUAUUAGAGAGUAUCCAAAGGAGGGCAGCAAAUAUGGUGAAGGGACUUGAAGGGAAGCCAUAUGAGGAAUGACUUAACUUGGUCUGUUCAGCCUGGACUAGAGGAGACUGAGGAGAUCUCAUUGCACAGUGAAGAUGCCUUGCAAAGGGUAGAGGAGGGGCAGACACUGAUUUUUUUCUCUGUGAUGCCCAGGGGCAAAAUUCAAGGGAAUGGCCUGAAGUGUCAGGAGAGGUUUAGCUGUGGUUAUUAGGCAAAGAUUCUUCACCAGGAGUGGGGCUGGGUGCUGGAGAAGGUUCCCUAAGGAAUUGGUCACACCAAGCCUGACAGAGUUCAAGAUGUGUUUGGCAAUGUCCUCAGGCACAUGGUGUGCCUCUUGGGGAUGGUGUUGUGCAGGGCCAGGAGUUGGGACUCAAUAGUGCCUUCCAAUUAGUGAUUUUCUGAGAUUCUGAGAUUCUGUGAUUCUGUACAGCAAGAACAUGUGUAAAUUCAUUCCACAUUGAAAUGCAUUCUUAUUCCAUUUCUAAACUUAUGAUUUUCAAAGCAGAGACAAUUUUUAGAUAAAAUUUUAUCAUUAUGAGAGAAAUUAGGAGAGGAAAAAAAGCAAUAUGAAAUUGGUUAUUUAAAUUCCUUUGCUUCUACUGAGAAAUCAAUAUUCUUUAAAAUCAGUUUUAAUAUUGUAUGCCGACACAUUGCCCCAUCCAAAAAUGGGAAUAAAAAUAAAAAUUGCCUGUAUUCUUUAUAUAUACUUAACAGUGUCAGAUUGACCUAGUCUAGCAUUAUUUUGAAACACUAGGCAAGUAAAAAUGAAUGUUUAAUCAAUUAACGUGAUUUGUUCUAUUUAAUUGCACCACUGAUGGUCCUCAGUAUUUCCUGCUGUGCUGGUACAGACAUUUUACACAUUUUCCAUUAAAUCAAUUAAAGGAGUGUAGGGUUAUGGUGAGUUCAUGAGCAGCCUUCUUAGCCCCUUGGUUUGUUGUGACUCAUUCUUUUGUGACUAUAAAACUUGUUUGUAAUGGUGUGCAAAAAUCUAUUGGUUUGCUAGUCAAGGUGAUUUAAAGUAUUGCCUAGCAGUAGAAUUACCCUCUAAGGAAACAAGGAGAGGUGAAAUGGCAAGAAACUCUUUCUUUUUAAAUACUUCCAUCAAAGAAAUUUUGCUUGGCUGCAAGGAGAGUAUGAAAAGAUGUAAAACUGAAUUUGUACAUAAAAACCAAAGACAAAGACUAGGCAUAUUACUUUGUUCCAGCCACAGUGUUUCAGAGGAAACUUUAAAAGCAGCUAUUUAAAUGUACUGAGAAUUAGAAAUGUUUGCUCGAUGCAUUUCCAAUGCAAUCAAAAUUAAGUGUACUCUAUCUGAUGCUCUGCCAGCUUUUAUGUGCUCAAACACUAAUUUUCCAGAAACAGUGAUUGCUUCUUCAUUCAACACUUAGAUUGGACUGUGCUUUGGGGUGGAACUAUGUCACCAAAGGUGGCAAGAGCAUACAGAAUGAAGCAGGAAUUACAAGUAAAGAAGUCAUAGUCUUACACAUAAUUAAGUGCUGCCCUGAAAAACUGCAUGUUUUUCUCUAAAUCUGCCACUGAGAUAAACUGUGUUAUUGGACAAAAAGAUCACCUAAAACUGGGUGCUUGAUAACUUUGUGCUUAUGGUAAGAAUUCUGAACCCAGGCCCUUAAAAUAUCUGUGCAUUGGGAAGAAAAAUGGUCUUGAUUGGUCAAUUUUGAAAAAUAUUUCAGGUUACUUAAAUUAGCCCAAAUUAAUGGCUAAUAUUGUUUUUAGUUUCUUUUUUGUUUGCCCUUUUUAAAAUGGUGAUGUAACAACAAAUACUUGCAAACUGAAAAUAAAGUCAACAGUCCGUAAAGUAUACCAGUAUAAUUCAAUAUCUCCCUAUUUCUUGUGGGAAAUUCAUGCCUAAUCUUAGACAGAUUGUCUCCAUACUUGCUACCCUUGUGUUUAUCACGUUGAAGCAUUUACCUGCUUGGACAGACAGGCAGAUAUCCCACUGCCAUCUCUCACCAGCAAUAAUUUCAAUGUGAAGUACCUAUUUGUGCCAGUGACAAAACCAUCUGUUUCCUUUUGCUAAGAAAGUGACAGUGAUCCCUCUCUGCUGACCAGGGUACCCUCUGAAAUUUUAUUUACAAAUUCAGCCCCUGGUUUCUGACACAAGGAGCUAUAUUUAUAUCACUCUCAUCUGAAAUUCCUGAUUUGUGACUUCACAAUGUCAACACUCCCAGAGAGGGUAGCAGCUUGGGUGAUCUAUCCUUGUUGCUGUGAAAUAGAGGCUUGCAGCUGCCAAGUGUUUAGAGCCAGCCUUCUACAAGUACCCUGGUAUCUAACUAUCCUCAUUUCAACAUUAAAAUCCUUUGGUAAUUUGAGAUAUGAAUGGGAAGAAAACUGCACAGGGAUCAGUGCAAGUAUAUGUCUCCAUUUUGUAGAAGAUUUCAUAGUAAGUAACACAGAACAGAAAAGCAGAUUUUUUCUGUUUGGCACUGAGAAGAUGAGUCUAAUAGUCACCACAGUUGUCAGAUUUUAAUACUAAGAUUAUUUUGUACAUAUGCUAAAUUACUAAUGAAAUUCAGAUUGAAAAUUACUAAAAAAGUCUUAGUUUACCUAGUAAAUAUCUAAAUGUCAGGAUCUUCAGAGUGCUUGAAAGAGCUUAAAAAAUAUCUAGGUUUUUUUUUUAAAGGCUAUCUUGGAGAAGAGAACAAAAAGAAUAUGAGAAAUUGAGUAUUUGGGAGAAAAAACUGAAACAGGAAUUGUUGCAUUUUGUUAGUAAUGAAACCAUAAGACAUUUUCCAAGCACGUUAUCUCUUUUUGCAUUUUAUGUUCUAAAUGCCUAAGAAAACAAUAAAUUGAUUUCAUGUUGUAUUACUGCUGCUCAGCUGUAGGGGAUGGCAUUAAAUCUCAUUAAAGGUAAAAUAAAAUCGAAGUAAUCUGUUUAAAAUGUUGACCACUUAGUUGAAAGGGGAAAGAAAAAUAAGUCCUGAAAGGCCACGAUGUCAGAUACAAAUCCUGCACCGGACAUUUUACUACAAAUUUGUUGUUGAUGUAAACAAUCUCUUUCCAAUGCUGCUCAGUUGGAAAAUUAUGUUCAGGGUCCAGUGAGAUAGAAGUAUGCUUUUUAGUCAACCAUUUUAGUGGAGAAAAUGGACAGUGUAUCCAUAUUCAGUCCCUGACAUGCUGAUUUCUGCACAUACUGAUCAAAAAUGGGACAUCUGUUUCUGUAUUUGUUCCAAUAUUGCUCACAGGUAAAUAUAAUGUCCAUGGUAAUGAAUUUCUUUAGAAUAACUACCAUGCCUUUGAAUUUGUACUUGACAGUUACAUUGAUGAUAUGUUGUUUUAAGUCCAUCCACGAUGAAAUUUUCAAUCUGAAUUUUAACAUAAAGCAGAAAAAGCCAAUGGCAACUCCAAUAUAAGGUUCUGUUUUUUCAUUAUAAAAAACACCGAAUGACAGAUACUUGGAACUUUAGUUUCAAAGUAUUAACUGGCUUACUUGCUUGGAGGAAGAAUCUCGAAUGACCUCCAAUGCCUUAAACUAAGAACUGUCAUCUACAACCUGCCUUGGACCAGUCCCAUUCAGUGCCUUAUUAACAACCUAGAUAAUGUAAUAAAGUGUCAACUAGAUGGACAUUUCUUGAUAUUCAACAGAGUGGUCAGUGAGAUAAACUCAGCUUUAUAAAACUGCAUUACCUUAGGUAGGAGGUGAAAACCAAAGCACAGAUAUGGAGGAAGCAGCACAGCAGGGAAGAAUCUACUGUAAUGAAUAACAGACAAGGGAAUGUCACUACCAUCCCCUUUCCUAAACCUGCUAAUUAACACUUUAGCAUGAGAACUUCACAUACACUUAAAGGAAGGUCUAGAGGAGGUGAGAAAAAUCUAUGAGCCACAAAAAUGUAAGAGAAAAAAGUGCAGGGAUAUUAUCAGGUUGUAUGAUUUUUACUGAUGGCUAUUUCAAAAGCUGUCUAGCAAAAGAAAAGAGAGGAAUAUAAUUUCACCAAAAAAAAAAAAAAAU